CAUGCAGUCGACGAUGAACCUCACUUGUGGGGGGAUUAGUGGCGAACGGGUGAGUAACACGUGAGUAACCUGCCCUUAACUCUGGGAUAAGCCUGGGAAACUGGGUCUAAUACCGGAUAUGACUGAUCAUCGCAUGGUGGUUGGUGGAAAGCUUUUUGUGGUUUUGGAUGGACUCGCGGCCUAUCAGCUUGUUGGUGAGGUAAUGGCUUACCAAGGCGACGACGGGUAGCCGGCCUGAGAGGGUGACCGGCCACACUGGGACUGAGACACGGCCCAGACUCCUACGGGAGGCAGCAGUGGGGAAUAUUGCACAAUGGGCGCAAGCCUGAUGCAGCGACGCCGCGUGAGGGAUGACGGCCUUCGGGUUGUAAACCUCUUUCAGUAGGGAAGAAGCGAAAGUGACGGUACCUGCAGAAGAAGCGCCGGCUAACUACGUGCCAGCAGCCGCGGUAAUACGUAGGGCGCAAGCGUUAUCCGGAAUUAUUGGGCGUAAAGAGCUCGUAGGCGGUUUGUCGCGUCUGCCGUGAAAGUCCGGGGCUCAACUCCGGAUCUGCGGUGGGUACGGGCAGACUAGAGUGAUGUAGGGGAGACUGGAAUUCCUGGUGUAGCGGUGAAAUGCGCAGAUAUCAGGAGGAACACCGAUGGCGAAGGCAGGUCUCUGGGCAUUAACUGACGCUGAGGAGCGAAAGCAUGGGGAGCGAACAGGAUUAGAUACCCUGGUAGUCCAUGCCGUAAACGUUGGGCACUAGGUGUGGGGGACAUUCCACGUUUUCCGCGCCGUAGCUAACGCAUUAAGUGCCCCGCCUGGGGAGUACGGCCGCAAGGCUAAA
rnacentral:rRNA from 1 species